GAAACGACUGCUAAGACUGGAUAGGAAAAGUAAAGGCAUCUUUACUUUUUUAAAAGAUCUUCUUUGAAGGUAUGCUUAAGGAGGGGCUUGCGACACAUUAGUUAGUUGGUAGGGUAAAGGCCUACCAAGACUAUGAUGUGUAGCUGGACUGAGAGGUUGAACAGCCACAUUGGGACUGAGACACGGCCCAAACUCCUACGGGAGGCAGCAGUAGGGAAUUUUCGGCAAUGGAGGAAACUCUGACCGAGCAACGCCGCGUGAACGAUGAAGUACCUCGGUAUGUAAAGUUCUUUUAUUAAGGAAGAAAAAAGAGUGGAAAAACUCCCUUGACGGUACUUAAUGAAUAAGCCCCGGCUAAUUAUGUGCCAACAGCCGCGGUAAUACAUAAGGGGCGAGCGUUAUCCGGAAUUAUUGGGCGUAAAGGGUGCGUAGGCGGUUUAAUAAGUCUAUAGUUUAAUUUCAGUGCUUAACGCUGUUGUGCUAUAAAAACUGUUUUACUAGAGUGAGAUAGAGGCAAGCGGAAUUCCAUGUGUAGCGGUAAAAUGCGUAAAUAUAUGGAGGAACACCAGAGGCGUAGGCGGCUUGCUGGGUCUUUACUGACGCUGAGGCACGAAAGCGUGGGGAGCAAACAGGAUUAGAUACCCUGGUAGUCCACGCCGUAAACGAUGAGUACUAAGUGUCGGGUAAAACUGGUACUGAAGUUAACACAUUAAGUACUCCGCCUGAGUAGUACGUACGCAAGUAUGAAACUUAAAGGAAUUGACGGGACUCCGCACAAGCGGUGGAUCAUGUUGUUUAAUUCGAAGAUACAUGAAAAACCUUACCAGGUCUUGACAUUUUCUUGCGAAGUUAUAGAAAUAUAAUGGAGGUCAUCAGGAAAACAGGUGGUGCAUGGUUGUCGUCAGCUCGUGUCGUGAGAUGUUAGGUUAAGUCCUAAAACGAGCGCAACCCUUGUCGUUAGUUGCCAGCAUGUAAUGAUGGGGACUUUAACGAGACUGCCAAUGAAAAAUUGGAGGAAGGUGGGGACUACGUCAAAUCAUCAUGCCCCUUAUGAUCUGGGCUACAAACGUGAUACAAUGGUUGAUACAAAGAGUAGCUGAAACGCGAGUUCUUAGCCAAUCUCAAAAAAUCAAUCUCAGUUCGGAUUGAAGUCUGCAACUCGACUUCAUGAAGUUGGAAUCGCUAGUAAUCGCGAAUCAGCAUGUCGCGGUGAAUACGUUCUCGGGGUUUGUACACACCGCCCGUCA
rnacentral:rRNA from 1 species